rnacentral:lncRNA from 1 species
CCUCGAUCUCCCUUUGCCCCAGGUUCUCCUGGCAUUCCUCUUCCUCCAUCUGCACCUGGACGACCCCUUUUUCCAGGUUUUCCCGUUGGACCAGGGGGACCCUGGACGCCUCGAGGGCCCUGAGGACCUGGAUCACCACUCUCACCUUUGGCCCCAGAUGAACCAGGCCCCCCCACAGGACCUGGUCUUCCAGUUAGACCCAUUGGGCCAGGUGGGCCUCUCAGAGCAAUCCGAGCCUGCUGAAGAAUAGCUUGAGCCUGAGCUUCCUGAGCAGAGAUGGUUGGUCCUUUGGAACCAUCACCACCAUAACGGAACGGUAACAUCAACAUAGUACCAGGAGGACCAGGUAGACCAUCAGCCCCUGGUAAGCCAGGACGUCCUGGG